rnacentral:rRNA from 1 species
AUGGCCACCGCCGCCGUCGUCUCGGCGGCGGCUCUCCCCGCCGCGCCGUCGCCGUCGCCGGUGCGUUAUACACCCCGCCGAGCGGCGCUUCGCGACGUGCCUCAGCUCCACGCGGCUCUGCUCAAGUCCGGUGAGCUCACCACUUCGCCAGAGUCCUUCCACUCCUUCCUCGAGGCUACCGCGCUGCCGUCGCCGGCCACCACCGCGGCCCACCUCUCCUACGCGAUCCGCCUGCUCCGCCUAGGCCCCCACCCGCCCCUCUCCGCGCGGUCGUACAACAUCCUUAUCCGUGCCCUCUUCCGCGCGGGCCACCCGGAGGAUGCCCUCCACCUGUUCGUCGAAAUGCUCGAUGCUGCCAUUGCUGCCAACGUCUGCCCCGACCAGCACACCAUUGCUAACACCGUAAAGUCCUGCGCCAGGAUGUAUGCCUUGGCUACAGGGCGCAGUGUUCAGGCGUACGCUGUCAAGCUUGGGUUCAUGGCCGAUCAGUUUGUGCUGAACAGCUUGAUACAUAUGUACGCGAGCUGUGGGGAUGUCGCAGCGGCACAGGUGCUGUUCAACACAGUGGAGGAAAAGGGUGUGGUUACAUGGAAUGCGAUGAUAGCGGGGUACGUUAAGAAUGGAGACUGGAAGGAGGUAGUGGAGAUGUUUAAGGGUAUGCUUGAGGUUCAGGCACCAUUUGAUGAAGUCACAUUGGUGAGUGUUGCCACAGCAUGCGGAAAAAUAGGUGAUUCUAAGCUCGGCGAGCGGAUUGGAGUUUAUGCAGAGGAGAAGGGAAUGGUGAGGAACAGAAACUUGGCAACUGCGCUGGUUGACAUGUAUGCCAAGUGUGGAGAACUUGAUAAGGCGCGCAGAUUGUUUGACAGGAUGCACUCCCGGGAUGUGGUUGCUUGGAGCGCGAUGAUCUCUGGCUACACUCAAGCCGACCGUUGUCGAGAGGCACUUACUAUUUUCAAUGAGAUGCAGGCUACCGAGGUGAACCCGAAUGACGUAACCAUGGUCAGUGUGCUCUCUGCCUGUGCUGUCCUGGGUGCACUUGAGAUGGGCAAGUGGGUGCAUUCAUACAUAAGGAGAAAGGCCUUGCCCCUUACAGUUGUUCUCGGCACUGCGCUGGUGGACUUCUAUGCAAAGUGUGGAUGCAUUGAAGAUGCAGUCAAGGCAUUUGAGUCGAUGCCUGUGAGGAAUUCUUGGACGUGGACAGCCUUGAUAAAGGGCAUGGCAAGCAACGGAAGAGGCAGAGAAGCGCUGGAGCUCUUCUCUUCCAUGCGGGAGGCCAAUAUUGAGCCUACAGAUGUCACAUUCAUUGGUGUUCUCCUAGCUUGCAGCCACAACUGCUUAGUUGAGGAGGGUCGCCGGCAUUUUGAUAGUAUGACCCAGGAUUAUGGCAUCCAUCCAAGGAUUGAGCACUAUGGCUGUAUGGUUGAUCUGUUGGGACGGGCAGGUUUGAUUGAUGAGGCGCACCAGUUUAUCAGGAAUAUGCCAAUUGAGCCAAAUGCAGUUGUCUGGAGGGCACUGCUGUCUGCUUGCACGGUUCACAAAAAUGUUGAAAUCGGAGAAGAAGCCCUGAAGCAGAUCAUCCCACUAGAUCCCUGUCACAGUGGUAACUACAUACUUCUAUCAAACACCUAUGCAUCAGUGGGACAAUGGAAAGAGGCAGCUAUGAUUCGGAAGGAAAUGAACGAGAGAGGGAUCAAGAAAAUUCCUGGGUGCAGUCUCAUUGAGCUGGAUGGGACGAUCUUCGAGUUCUUUGCUGAAGACAGCGAACACCCCCAGUCGAGGGAGAUAUAUGAGAAAGUGGAUGAGAUGAUUGAAAACAUCAAGAUGGCGGGGUACGUCCCAAAUACAGCUGACGCAAGGCUAGAUGUUGAUGAAUCUGAGAAGCAAGUGUCCGUUUCGCAUCACAGCGAGAAGCUGGCCAUUGCGUUUGGCCUGAUGAAGUCGCGCCCUGGCGCAACGAUCCGGCUGUCGAAGAACCUGAGAGUGUGCGUGGACUGCCACUCCGCCACGAAGUUGAUCUCCAAGGUGUACAACAGGGAGAUUGUUGUUCGAGACAGGAACAGGUUUCACCAUUUCAAGGAUGGAUUGUGCUCCUGCAAUGAUUACUGA